AUCUCUGCAGUUCUGUAAGUCAAAAAAUUAUGAAAUUAGUGUAGUAGCCCCAUAUUUGCAUUUUUAAUUCACUGUAAAAUUCCCAGGCCCAUAAGUUGUAUGCAUGUUUGUAGAUAUUUAAUUGUUCAACUUGUCUUACUAAGGCCAAAAUAAAUAAUUUCUGGUAUCAAUAAAUGUUGGAGGAAUUUUGUUACAUGCUUUAUCAAUAUUUUAUCAUGUUGGUAAAAUUUGGUUACCGGUUCAUGCCCGAAAUUAUGAUUUUGCUUUUAUUUCGUUGCUAGCCAUAGUAUAUAGCCUUCCUGUUAUAAGUGUUGCUAGACAAUUUUUUCUGCAGGUCUCUUUUUAAUAACUCAUGGUGAUCUUGUAUAAGUUAGGUUACUUCUUUUAAGAUCAGAAUGUGAGUUACUUUCAUAUCGCUUGCUGUUACCUGGACAGCGUCCUUAGGAAUUGCAUCUGAAUACCACUUGCGGAACUAAUUUAGCAACUAAUGUACACAGACAACUAGAUAAAUCUGGUAUUAUUUUUCUGCUAUCUAAAGCUUACUGCAGUUCCAGCAAUUAAACUUUUAUCCAUAUCCUCCAAUUAAAAUAUGCAGACUGGAUACCCAUAGCAUCUGUAUCUUAUCUUACAUUCCAACCAUGGAUCAAUAUUGAUAGUAUCAGGCACUUUCAACUGAAUUUGCCACAAUCAGUUAAUUUUCCAUGGAAAAUGUGUAGAGUUCAGUAAUCACAUAGCUCUGUUUGCUUCCAACUGAAGUGUCAUCUCUUUUCUCUGGUGAAUUCAUCACCUUUGUUGCGCCGACCUUGCCGCCACUCAACGAGAUGACGCAGCCAAUGCCCUUCUUCCAACCAAUCCAUCUGAUCCUCUCCCUCACUGUGGGCCCCUUGUCGACAGGCUCCGCCUUGCACCUCGAUGCCAAUCACCGCCUCAUCCCGAGUUGAUACCGCACAUAACUAGCAGAGGGUCCACCACCUGCCUUUUCUUCUCCUGAUGCCACCCCCCUCCCUGUUAGCCUCUUACUCCUCACACCAAGUGCACCUUUUUCCUUGCCGACGACAUAACCAGCAGAGCAGAAGCAGGCGAGGACCACAUCUAAGGCAUGUUGCUCUUUCUUUCCCCAACACCAACAGCUCAUGCACUUUCCUUAGAUCCAUUGUUCUGCCCGAUUUUCCCCAAGAGCCGCAUCAACCAUCCUCCAUCAUCUGAUCGUUGAUUAUUCUUCUUCGUUCGUGGUGCCUUUGGGCCCUAUGGGUGCGGGAGUCACUUCGGGAGUAUGCUAUUACAAUUUCACACUUCCUAGAGAUAUGUCAUUAUCUACCCUUUUCGAUGUGUUUAUGAAAAAAUUUGGACCAAAAUGCCCUCAUCUUCAACUUCCUACAUCGAUUCCUAUCGCGAAUAGCAAUGUGUAUCUCCGAAAUGUGGUAACGCAAUGGUAUAGUUCCAAUUAACCUUAGAUAAAAACACUAGCAAGAAAUAUUUCAGUUUCAGAGCCAGAAGUUUGGUGUGGCCACAGUAGAUGCACAAUAUGUGAUCAAUGAUAUGCGUAUAAGAGAGUUGAUGUUAUUGUCUUGCCGAUUCUGCUCCCCUCAUGUGGCCAUAUCCUUUGCAAUAUGCAGUGUUUUUUAUCGAUUGAUUGUAUCCUACUGCAGUGUAUGUGCCUGUAUCAGGUUGAUUAUGGUCAACAAGUACAUGCAAGCCCAAUAAUGUACUAUACUGCUAUAUUAAAACCCAACUUGCGUGCCACCUAAUGAUACAGGCAAAGCAGCAGGUGUUCUGCAUUGCCUUACUAAAAUCAUGACCUAGAAGAUUACUGAUGAUCCCCAGUUAUUUCUUUGUUCAAGGUAGAUUUCUCAUAAAAGCAGCAAUUCUCCAGUUCACAGUACAGGUAAUUCCUUGAUCUUUUAUCCUGAAACAAGCUUUUAAUAUGUGAGUCAACUGCUGUUGUAUGUGCACAUUUAUAUUUAUAUGACUGAUCUCACGCAUCAUGCUGAUGAGUCGCUUAGCUAGGAAAUCAAUGGAUCAUCUAAAUAUUAAAAUAGAUUUUGUAUGUGUGGAAACAUAUAAAAGAAAAUGAUGUAGUUUAAGGCGUUAUAAUAGCUUUACUAAACUAUUCGGUUAUGCGGGCUACGUCCAUUAUGGUUACUUCAACAUAUAGCAGCACAAUCUAAACUUUUGAUUUAUGGUACAGAAUUGAUAGUAAUAAGAUUUAUCAUUUUAUUGAACUCUGUAAAUUUUAAUUUCGGAUAUCUGCCGGUUUGUAUGACUUAACUAUACUGGAGCCACACUAGAGUAAGUUAUCAUAUAAAUGUUACAGUUAUUUUACAUUCAAUAUAAUUCUAAACUGAAAGGUUAAUAAAAUAUUACUUCCAGUGCAAAUUGUGGCAAAAGAAAAUCCUACCUUUUCCUUUACCACUGCUGUUUAUUUCCUACUACAGAAACCAUACAUCAGAUUACUAAUGGCCUGCCGGUAAUUGAAUAGCUCCUGCAAAGUUCUUCCAGAUGGUGCCAUAAUAUAUCUGUCUGUGCUCUGAAUAAAUUUCUAAGUGAAGGAUCAUAGAUUCAUAGAAGAUCGUUGGACUUCCAGUUACGUGUUCUACCAGCAAGAUAUUGUCAGACCAACUACCUACUAGGUGCUGGAAUUUUAAAUGUAUUUUGUGUCACUUGAUUAUAGUCAAUCAAAGCUUAAGGUGAUUUACCAUCUUCUAUUCUA